GGAGUUGUAGCUCAGUGGUAGAGCACUUGCCUAACACAUACAAGGCACUGGGUUCAAUCCUCAGCACCACCU
rnacentral:tRNA from 1 species